CGAUGGGCCGACGUCGCAUGCUCCCGGCCGCCAUGGUUAGAGUUUGAUCAUGGCUCAGAGCGAACGCUGGCGGCAGGCCUAACACAUGCAAGUCGGACGAACUCUUCGGAGUUAGUGGCGGACGGGUGAGUAACACGUGGGAACGUGCCUUUUGGUUCGGAAUAACUCAGGGAAACUUGUGCUAAUACCGAAUGUGCCCUUUGGGGGAAAGAUUUAUCGCCAUUAGAGCGGCCCGCGUCUGAUUAGCUAGUUGGUGAGGUAAAAGCUCACCAAGGCGACGAUCAGUAGCUGGUCUGAGAGGAUGACCAGCCACACUGGGACUGAGACACGGCCCAGACUCCUACGGGAGGCAGCAGUGGGGAAUCUUGCGCAAUGGGCGAAAGCCUGACGCAGCCAUGCCGCGUGAAUGAUGAAGGUCUUAGGAUUGUAAAAUUCUUUCACCGGGGACGAUAAUGACGGUACCCGGAGAAGAAGCCCCGGCUAACUUCGUGCCAGCAGCCGCGGUAAUACGAAGGGGGCUAGCGUUGCUCGGAAUUACUGGGCGUAAAGGGCGCGUAGGCGGAUCGUUAAGUCAGAGGUGAAAUCCCAGGGCUCAACCCUGGAACUGCCUUUGAUACUGGCGAUCUUGAGUAUGAGAGAGGUAUGUGGAACUCCGAGUGUAGAGGUGAAAUUCGUAGAUAUUCGGAAGAACACCAGUGGCGAAGGCGACAUACUGGCUCAUUACUGACGCUGAGGCGCGAAAGCGUGGGGAGCAACAGGAUUAGAUACCCUGGUAGUCCACGCCGUAAACGAUGAUUGCU
rnacentral:rRNA from 1 species